rnacentral:rRNA from 1 species
UACGUAGGGCGCAAGCGUUAUCCGGAAUUAUUGGGCGUAAAGAGCUCGUAGGCGGUUUGUCGCGUCUGCCGUGAAAAGUCCGGGGCUCAACUCCGGAUCUGCGGUGGGUACGGGCAGACUAGAGUGAUGUAGGGGAGACUGGAAUUCCUGGUGUAGCGGUGAAAUGCGCAGAUAUCAGGAGGAACACCGAUGGCGAAGGCAGGUCUCUGGGCAUUAGCUGACGCUGAGGAGCGAAAGCAUGGGGGAGCGAACAGG